rnacentral:rRNA from 1 species
AUUGAACGCUGGCGGCAUGCCUUACACAUGCAAGUCGAACGGUAACAGGUCUUCGGACGCUGACGAGUGGCGAACGGGUGAGUAAUACAUCGGAACGUGCCCAGUCGUGGGGGAUAACUACUCGAAAGAGUAGCUAAUACCGCAUACGAUCUGAGGAUGAAAGCGGGGGACCUUCGGGCCUCGUGCGAUUGGAGCGGCCGAUGGCAGAUUAGGUAGUUGGUGGGAUAAAAGCUUACCAAGCCGACGAUCUGUAGCUGGUCUGAGAGGACGACCAGCCACACUGGGACUGAGACACGGCCCAGACUCCUACGGGAGGCAGCAGUGGGGAAUUUUGGACAAUGGGCGAAAGCCUGAUCCAGCAAUGCCGCGUGCAGGAUGAAGGCCUUCGGGUUGUAAACUGCUUUUGUACGGAACGAAAAAGCUCCUUCUAAUACAGGGGGCCCAUGACGGUACCGUAAGAAUAAGCACCGGCUAACUACGUGCCAGCCGCAGCUGUAA